UAUCCACACAUGGAGGAAAUACAGUUGUCAACGUGUUGCUCGAGAUUGUACACCAACAAAGACCGAUGCUGAGAGAAAUCGAAUCUCUUCUGAUGCACAGCAUGAAACUGAAAUAGGGCAGAGUGCAAGGAGGCUGGUCAAAAGAGGAGGAUUGUUAUGACUGGGCGGACAAUGCUGAUUAUUGGCGCCAUGUAGAGGGACUACGUGGCAGAAUUAGAGACGGUUUCCUGGCCACCAUGAGAUGGGGGACAAUAAAGAGCUGUAGACAGCAGCCUGUAAAGACUGUGUCUGACUUUUUAGUCAGACCGACUAAAGUUUUCGGGGAAAACAGUGGUCUAGCACCACCAGCACCACUAAAUGAACGAGAUGACUCCCUGUAUGAACAACAGCUUAAGACCCGUUUCCUGGAAGAAAUUAGCCGUCAGGCGUGCGAACACUGUGUGGGCUGGGACAGCGGACGUUUGGCUGCUGUUCAAGAGCAUGCCCUCCACGUCGAAAACAAUAUGAAACUCUCCGAGACAAAAGCACAACGAGUCAAAGCUCGGUUGACUGACAAGCUUCAAAUGGCACGACUGGCACAGUUCCAGACUCAACAGAGCUCAAACAGAGGGAGAGGGAGAGGCAGACGCCAAGGGUGCGGCGGCCCCCCUCGGAGCAGAGGCCAAGCUCCGAGUAGAGGACCCCGCAAUGCAGGCCGUCGAAACGAGGGGUGUUGGAACUGUGGGGUCCCUGAUCAUUGGGCGAAAGACUGUACCGAACCAAGGAGGAGACAGGAACCCAUUGGAUACACACACGGUGUGUACGCCGAAGAUGAAGCGUGACUGGCAGCAGGGACAGGGAAGAUUCCGGAGUCUGGGUAAGACAUAUACGUGGACCAGGAUGGCACAAGGUUAUGUUGAGUCCCCAGCAGUCUACUCUCAGGUUUUGCAUGCAAGCCUGGAGGGCUUGGAUCUUCCAGCAGGGAGUGUGCUGAUACAAGUGGUGGGGCAGUGAAGAGAGAAAACGGGAGGAUUAUUAUUAUUGCAUCAGAUGGCUUGGUGGCCUGUCCAGGGUGUCUCCCCGCCUGCCGCCAAUGACUGCUGGGAUAGACUCCACUCCAGCAUCCCCGUGACCCCGAGAGCAGGAUAAGCGGUUUGGAUAAUGGAUGGGUGGAUUCUUCAUAAAUUUUAGAAUUAUGUUAUCCUCUUUCAAUGUUGUAUUCUGUAAAUUAUGUAAACACAUCAUCCAUUGCACGUUGUCUGUCUUGGGAGAUAGAGCCCUCCCUCUGUUGCGCUCCCUGAGGUUUCUUCCUGGGAGUUGUUCCUUAUGUGAGGGUCUAAGGACAAGAUGUUGUGUUGCUAUAAAGCCCCUUGAGGCAAAUUUGUAAUGUGUGAUAUUGGGCUAUACAAUAACAUUGACUUGACGAUUAAAAAUAAACUGCUGAGCGUCCGAGUAGCGUGGCGGUCUAUUUCGUUGCCCACCAACACGAGGAUUGGCGGUUGGAAUCCCCGUGUUACCUCGGUGUGCAGACAAAUGCUCACAAAUUGUUUUACAAUCUUUAUUUUUCAAAAAGUCAACUGAACAUUCUGUUGCAUGUCACAUAAGACAUAUCACAUAGGCCUGAGCAUGUGAGAGGGAUCACAUCUCCCUGACAAAUGAAAUGGUGAUCUUAAAGAUAAUCUUGAUAAUGACACUAUUAAUUACUGUUUGGUACUACAUAAUCUUAAUUAACCUUUAUUCAUGGAAAAAUAUUCCAUUGAACAGUCUGUUGCAUGUCACAGGAAAUAUCACAUAGGUCUAAGCAUGUAAUAGGGAUCACAGUGACCUAAUUAAGAGAUUUUAAAGCAGUGUCUACAGAGUCAUCGAACUACAAAGGAAAUCGAUUCCAUGUACAUAUUUUACUAGUGCAUUGGGUUUUGAAAGUAUUUGUACAUAUUUUCAUAAUUAAAUCGAUAUGUAAACAUACUUCAUAUUUGUAUAUCUGUAUACUAUUGUAAACUACUAAUAUGACACGUUAGCCCCCUAGCUAACGGGUCUAACCCUUUAGCCGAGCGGUUAGUGAUGUCGCCUUGUGGUGCGGUACACCCUGUAUCGAAUCCCGCACCGGGCAAGAAAAUAAUCAGUUACAUUGUCAUUUUUCGCUGUAAAUAUAGAUUAUAAAACAAUUUGGGAGCAUUUGUCUCUUUUUCUUUUAGUGUUGUGAGCAUUGGUCAUGGAAUCGUUACCUCUGGCUUGGUCGGGCGUCCCUACAGACACGACAGCCUGGGUGCGCAAGAUGGCGUCGUUCGGCUUCCGACGCACGAGCGCUUGCGAAGAACUUCCGGUCUGGUUUGUGUAGAGAAAAGAUGGCUUUGUUUUACACUCGCUGUUUGCAAGGGACCUCCCU